rnacentral:rRNA from 1 species
AACACACCCGAUCUCCUCUGAUCUCAGAAGCUAAG